rnacentral:rRNA from 1 species
UGGGGAAUUUUGGACCAUGGGGGAAACCCUGAUCCAGCCAUCCCGCGUGUGCGAUGAAGGCCUUCUGGUUGUAAAGCACUUUUGGCAGGAAAGAAACGUCAUGGGUUAAUACCCCGUGAAACUGACGGUACCUGCAGAAUAAGCACCGGCUAACUACGUGCCAGCAGCCGCGGUAAUACGUAGGGUGCAAGCGUUAAUCGGAAUUACUGGGCGUAAAGCGUGCGCAGGCGGUUCGGACAGAACGAUGUGAAAUCCCAGAGCUCAACUUUGGAACUGCAUUUUUAACUAGCUGGCGAGAGUGUGUCAGAGGGAGGAGGAAUUCCGCGUGUAGCAGUGAAAUGCGUAGAUAUGCGGAGGAACACGGAGGGCGAAGGCAGCCACCUGGGAAAACACUGACGCUCAUGCAAGAAAGCGUGGGGAGCAAACAGG